GAUCAUGGCUCAGGACGAACGCUGGCGGCGUGCCUAACACAUGCAAGUCGAGCGGGAAGCUGCUCACGGAGGCUUCGGCCGAAGUGAGCAGUGGAGAGCGGCGGACGGGUGAGUAACGCGUGAGUAACCUGCCCAUAAGAGGGGGAUAACAACCGGAAACGGUUGCUAAUACCGCAUAAAAUAGUUAAACCGCAUGGUUUAACUAUCAAAGAUUUAUCGCUUAUGGAUGGACUCGCGUCCAAUUAG
rnacentral:rRNA from 1 species